rnacentral:rRNA from 1 species
GGAGGGUGCAAGCGUUAAUCGGAAUUACUGGGCGUAAAGCGCACGCAGGCGGUUGAUUAAGUCAGAUGUGAAAUCCCCGAGCUUAACUUGGGAACUGCAUUUGAAACUGGUCAGCUAGAGUCUUGUAGAGGGGGGUAGAAUUCCAGGUGUAGCGGUGAAAUGCGUAGAGAUCUGGAGGAAUACCGGUGGCGAAGGCGGCCCCCUGGACAAAGACUGACGCUCAGGUGCGAAAGCGUGGGGAGCAAACAGGAUUAGAUACCCUGGUAGUCCACGCUGUAAACGAUGUCGACUUGGAGGUUGUGCCCUUGAGGCGUGGCUUCCGGAGCUAACGCGUUAAGUCGACCGCCUGGGGAGUACGGCCGCAAGGUUA